UCUCCUUUCAUCCGGUUUCCUGAAGAAAAAGUAGAAGAACUGCUGCAUAACCUUCUCCACCGUCUCUCAGCAGGUGGCAUGGUCCUGAUCCUAAUGAUGCUAGAUUUAGUAAAAAUUUCCCCUUCCAUUCUUCUAUGUUGGGAAUUAAGGAGCAGUUAAUUUUGUAGCUUAAACAGCUAAAGGAGAGGACCCUCGUAUUAAACACAAAUUAAUUUGAUAUCUUCUUCCCUGAGGACACGAGGAUCUCUAGACUGCUUAGUUGUGGUCCUAUGGUUUUAUGUUUGCUUCUAAAAAUUAUUGCAGGUGAAUUUUCUGUGCUGGGAACACCAUAUGCUGCUCGAGAUAUAAUCAAGUUCCAAGGCACAUGACACAUGGAGAUUUUAUAAUUGAAGACAUGCGUCACUAGCAUCUUUAUCGGUCAUUUGCUUAAUUUCCAGAAAUCAAGAACUAGCACAAGUGGUGGUGUCAAUAUCGGAAGUGCACGGAUUGAUAAUCUGAUACCCUUUUUAUCAUCUACUCUACCAUGAUCUGAAGAUUUGGAGCUGUAUAGCUUGCAGGUUUCCCUGCAAUGAAGAUGCGAUCGAUCUAGAGCUGUAGUAAAUUAAAGAUGCGGCCGGGUCUACAACACUUCGCUGUUUGAUCUCUAUAAUCUCCAUGAGUAUUUGACAUUUUUUUGUGUUGUUGAUGUUGAUCAUCAUGAUCAAGUUGCAAGCUUCUUCGUUUGAAACCAGGGUUUGGCUAUUUGUCAAGAAUAACAGACUCCAUUCAUGUAUUCAUGCUCUAUGCAUACGCAAUUCAUAGAAUGAUAGUACUGAGCUGAUGAUCAAUAAUCAAGAAAAUGUUCAUCGA